rnacentral:rRNA from 1 species
UCUUAUGUACAUGCCUACAACAUAGUGUUAAUGCACCGAAUCCCAUUAUAACUCAGCAGUUAAGCACUCUAGGCUAGAGUAGUACUGGGAUGGGUGACCACCCGGGAAGUCAUACUAUUUUACAU